CCUACGGGAGACAGCAGUGAGGAAUAUUGGUCAAUGGGCGCGAGCCUGAACCAGCCAAGUCGCGUGAAGGAUGAAGGAUCUAUGGUUUGUAAACUUCUUUUAUAUGGGAAUAAAGUGAGGAACGUGUUCCUUUUUGUAUGUACCAUAUGAAUAAGCAUCGGCUAACUCCGUGCCAGCAGCCGCGGUAAUACGGAGGAUGCGAGCGUUAUCCGGAUUUAUUGGGUUUAAAGGGUGCGUAGGUGGUUAAUUAAGUCAGCGGUGAAAGUUUGUGGCUCAACCAUAAAAUUGCCGUUGAAACUGGUUGGCUUGAGUAUAUUUGAGGUAGGCGGAAUGUGUGGUGUAGCGGUGAAAUGCAUAGAGAUCACGCAGAACACCGAUUGCGAAGGCAGCUUACUAAACUAUAACUGACACUGAAGCACGAAAGCGUGGGGAUCAAACAGGAUUAGAUACCCUAGUAGUC
rnacentral:rRNA from 1 species